GACGAACGCUGGCGGCGUGCCUAACACAUGCAAGUCGAGCGGAGGUAAGUGGAUGGUAACUGAAACUUACUUUAGCGGCGGACGGGUGAGUAACACGUGGGCAACCUGCCUCGAAGUGGGGGAUAACACCGAGAAAUCGGUGCUAAUACCGCAUAACAUACAGACAUCACCUGAUGACUGUAUCAAAGGAGAAAUCCGCUUUGAGAUGGGCCCGCGGCUGAUUAGCUAGUUGGUGAGGUAAUGGCUCACCAAGACGACGAUGGGUAGCCGGCCUGAGAGGGUGAACGGCCACACUGGAACUGAGACACGGUCCAGACUCCUACGGGUGGCUG
rnacentral:rRNA from 1 species